CUUGACCGACCCCAACCACAGGGGCUCGUUGCCAGGCGCCCUCUCUUGCCCAUACGUCGCCAACAACGCCUGCGCCUC
rfam:Mycobacterium simiae strain MsiGto contig_1, whole genome shotgun sequence.